rnacentral:lncRNA from 1 species
CAGCAGUUCGUCAAAUUCAACCUAAUCAGUAUGAACCCUCCAGUGCAUCAAGCACCAUCUGCAUUGUCUCCUUCAUCAGGUCCAUCCGAUGCAGCUGCUGCCUUAUCUCUGACAUUCUGAACUUCCGCAGCUUCUCCUCCAUAGCUUUGACAUUCUGAACUUCCGCAGCUUCUCCUCCAUAGCUUGUGCCUUUGACUUCUCAAGUACACCAAAUGCCUUUCUGAAUAUUGGUCCGCUCGGGUGCUCCUUCGAUAGCUCCGCAACAGCCUCCCACAGGUAAGGGUACAUUUGUUUUCCCUU